rnacentral:rRNA from 1 species
GACGAACGCUGGCGGCGUGCUUAACACAUGCAAGUCGAACGGAAAGGCCCUGCUUGCAGGGUACUCGAGUGGCGAACGGGUGAGUAACACGUGGGUGAUCUGCCCUGCACUUCGGGAUAAGCCUGGGAAACUGGGUCCAAUACCGGAUAGGAGCCAUUUUUAGUGUGAUGGUUGGAAAGUUUUUUCGGUGUAGGAUGAGCUCGCGGCCUAUCAGCUUGUUGGUGGGGUAAUGGCCUACCAAGGCGGCGACGGGUAGCCGGCCUGAGAGGGUGGACGGCCACAUUGGGACUGAGAUACGGCCCAGACUCCUACGGGAGGCAGCAGUGGGGAAUAUUGCACAAUGGGCGCAAGCCUGAUGCAGCGACGCCGCGUGGGGGAUGACGGCCUUCGGGUUGUAAACUCCUUUCGCUAGGGACGAAGCUUUUUGUGACGGUACCUAGAUAAGAAACACCGGCUAACUACGU